GAGUUUAUGUACAUACAUAUAUUUAACUCACCAGUGCGAGUAGUUUGUAUCUUGGAUUUGGCGUAUAUAUGGAACUCAGUUUGUUUUUUUUACUGGUUCUUCUAGCAGCUAUAUACUACUGUUUGUAGUAUUGUAUGAUUUACAGGUACAGCUAUAGAUUCGUAUACAGGAAAAAUUUCUUUGUAUAUGACGGAUUUGUUGGUGCGCCCGAGAAACGAGUAAUCCGGAGCGUGACAUAUAUUUAGUGAAAAAUUAAAAUUUAAAAAUAAAUUUAAUUUCAAAUAAAAAAAUAUAAUUGAGAUAUUCUUGGAACAUGUAUUCAUUCCACCUAAGUUCAAUUUUCAAUAUAGUUUUUCUAGGCUGAAUUGAAAAAAAGAGUGUUUUGGGGAUUUUUAUUCCACCAAGAAAUUGAACUGGAUUGGUACUCCAGCAUACUAGAUACCCGCAAACAGAAUCAU
rnacentral:lncRNA from 1 species